rnacentral:rRNA from 1 species
AUUGAACGCUGGCGGAAUGCUUUACACAUGCAAGUCGAACGGCAGCACGGACUUCGGUCUGGUGGCGAGUGGCGAACGGGUGAGUAAUGUAUCGGAACGUGCCCAGUCGUGGGGGAUAACGUAGUGAAAAUUACGCUAAUACCGCAUACGAUCUAUGGAUGAAAGCGGGGGAUCGCAAGACCUCGCGCGAUUGGAGCGGCCGAUAUCAGAUUAGGUAGUUGGUGGGGUAAAGGCCCACCAAGCCAACGAUCUGUAGCUGGUCUGAGAGGACGACCAGCCACACUGGAACUGAGACACGGUCCAGACUCAUACGGGAGGCAGCAGUGGGGAAUUUGGGACAAUGGGCGAAAGCCCGAUCCAGCCAUUCCGCGUGCAGGAUGAAGGCCCUCGGGUUGUAAACUGCUUUUGUACAGAACGAAAAGGUUUCUACUAAUACUAGGAGCUCAUGACGGUACUGUAAGAAUAAGCACCGGCUAACUACGUGCCAGCCGCCGCCGUAA